rnacentral:misc_RNA from 1 species
GCAAACUUGGUCAUUUAGAGGAAGUAAAAGUCGUAACAAGGUUUCCGUAGGUGAACCUGCGGAAGGAUCAUUACAAGAGUUAUUCAGUGGCUAUAUGCCCUGAAAUCUCCACCCUUUGUUUAACUAUUUACCUUUGUUGUUGCCUCGGUGGGUGCUACCAUACACCUGCCGGCAGACACCUUUUAAACCCUUUUUUUGAUUACUAUAGUCAGAGCUGUAACAAGCAAAAGAUUUAAUAAAUCAAAACUUUCAACAACGGAUCUCUUGGUUCUGGCAUCGAUGAAGAACGCAGC